GCNGUCGACGAUUCCUACGGGAGGCAGCAGUGGGGAAUCUUAGACAAUGGGCGCAAGCCUGAUCUAGCCAUGCCGCGUGAGUGAUGAAGGCCCUAGGGUCGUAAAGCUCUUUCGCCAGGGAUGAUAAUGACAGUACCUGGUAAAGAAACCCCGGCUAACUCCGUGCCAGCAGCCGCGGUAAUACGGAGGGGGUUAGCGUUGUUCGGAAUUACUGGGCGUAAAGCGUACGUAGGCGGAUCAGAAAGUUGGGGGUGAAAUCCCGGGGCUCAACCUCGGAACUGCCUCCAAAACUCCUGGUCUAGAGUUCGAGAGAGGUGAGUGGAACUCCGAGUGUAGAGGUGAAAUUCGUAGAUAUUCGGAAGAACACCAGUGGCGAAGGCGGCUCACUGGCUCGAUACUGACGCUGAGGUACGAAAGUGUGGGGAGCAAACAGGAUUAGAUACCCUGGUAGUCCACACCGUAAACGAUGAAUGCCAGUCGUCGGAUAGUAUACUAUUCGGUGACACACCUAACGGAUUAAGCAUUCCGCCUGGGGAGUACGGUCGCAAGAUUAAAACUCAAAGGAAUUGACGG
rnacentral:rRNA from 1 species